CAUUCUGCAUUCGUCAUUCCUCUAAACAUGCUGAAUAUGUUUGCUCUUGUGUUUUGUGUAUUUGUCCUGUCUGGUGACUUCAUGAUUGAGGGAAUCCAUGCAGAAAAAUGCAGGUACCCAUUUCGGAAGAUAGGGGAUGGUUGUUACUUUAUAACCAGGGAGAAAACGACUGCAGAUAGAGCAUUUGCAUUGUGUUUACGGCGUGGUGCAUACCUUGCCAAUUUUCAGACGCUGGAAGAAGCCAUGUUGAUGAAAUAUGAACUUCAACAAAUGCAUAAAGGGAUAAGCUUCUAUAUCGGAGGUCGGAACAUAAACAGAUACGUCCCUGGCGGAGACUGGAGAUGGAUACAAAACGGCAAAAUGACAAAGAUGACGUACAAAGCUUUUGCUUCUGGUCAACCGAACGGAAGUUAUUCUAGUGAACAAGACUGCAUGCUGUUAUACGCAGGAGUAGGACACGGCAUUAUCGACGAAACUUGUAAUCAUUACCUUCAUGGCUACAUUUGUGAGAAAUGAAAGUAAUAAACCCAUUCUUAGUUAUAA